AGUGGCGGACGGGUGAGUAAUGUCUGGGAAACUGCCUGAUGGAGGGGGAUAACUACUGGAAACGGUAGCUAAUACCGCAUACCAUCGGAUGUGCCCAGAUGGGAUUAGCUAGUAGGUGGGGUAAAGGCUCACCUAGGCGACGAUCCCUAGCUGGUCUGAGAGGAUGACCAGCCACACUGGAACUGAGACACGGUCCAGACUCCUACGGGAGGCAGCAGUGGGGAAUAUUGCACAAUGGGCGCAAGCCUGAUGCAGCCAUGCCGCGUGUAUGAAGAAGGCCUUCGGGUUGUAAAGUACUUUCAGCGGGGAGGCGUUACCCGCAGAAGAAGCACCGGCUAACUCCGUGCCAGCAGCCGCGGUAAUACGGAGGGUGCAAGCGUUAAUCGGAAUUACUGGGCGUAAAGCGCACGCAGGCGGUUUGUUAAGUCAGAUGUGAAAUCCCCGGGCUCAACCUGGGAACUGCAUCUGAUACUGGCAAGCUUGAGUCUCGUAGAGGGGGGUAGAAUUCCAGGUGUAGCGGUGAAAUGCGUAGAGAUCUGGAGGAAUACCGGUGGCG
rnacentral:rRNA from 1 species